rnacentral:sRNA from 1 species
ACGUGUUUGUUCUGUUUGUUAUUCUGGAUAAAGCCGAUAACGAGUUGCAGCUGCUGAACAGGGUGUACCGCUUGCCGAGGCCACGGCUGUAACUUAUAGAUAGAACAGAGCAGCCAGAGAUGUGCCUCGGGCUGUAGCCAGCUCUGCAAAUAGGACACACUCCGGGCUACAGUACAUGCAUUUCAUUAGCUGCCACUUUACUCCUGGAGAAGCGUGAUUGGCAACAGACUCAAAAGGAGAGAAUUUUAAAUAUCACUACUCAGCUCAAAGAGUUUUCCUCUGUUUCUGACCUGAAGAAUUGGCUUAUGUCAGUCUCAAUAAAGAUGCCUGUAGUAGUACAUGAGGCUGACUUGGAACCAUCCGGGUCCCUCUGGACAGAGCGUACACCUGAUGAUUCCAGUCUGGGGGCAAUGCCUGAGGCUGCAGAGUCCUUAGUGCUGAAACCGAUCUCACGCUCAACUCAACUGAGUUUUGUGCCUCUUUGCUGUGUACUUAAGGGCUGCGUGCCAAAAAAGACACGCAGCCAAUGAUCCGCCCUUAACCGUUAAGUAGCUACCAUUAAACUGCCCUCUAAACUGAGCUGACAGGGAACAGAGCAUCGCCGUCCAUUAUUUACAAUGGGAUCUUCUACUUUUAACCUAGAUUAUUAAGACAUGAGGAAAACAAUUAAUGGUCAACAGUAUAAAGGAUUGGGUCCAAACCAAAACAUGUUUCCAGCAUAAACCAGAAUUAAGUCCUGUCAGAAACAAAACAAAUGGAUAAUAGACGAAAGAAGAUGAAUGACAGCACCAUCUCUCAGAUCGGGAAAACCAGCUCAGAUGAAGUGGGGAAAGAACACAUUGCUCGUUACCAGAAAAUAUAUCAGGAGAUCAUGAUGCUCCUUUUAAGAGGCUAUGUGGCAACAUCGACAUGCUAACUCAUCAGAACAUGUGGCAGCAACAUCCAGCACGGCUCGCCCACUCCAAUUACACUUUGACUGAUCAAGGAGCUGCUUGGAAAGGACAGCAGAGGACACAAAAUGAAUUGAACAGUCACCAUCUGAUCAAACCAGGGGGAGCAAGUUAAAAAAAGAAAGAAAGAAAGAAAAGGGAUACUUACCUGUUCUUCAAUAGCUCUGCUUGAUGAAUAAGAGGGAUGAAUGUUUGCUUCCUGAAAGAAGAUAGCUUCCCUGUUUAUUAAUAAUCACUUCACAGAUAUCCCUGACCAAGCCCUUAUCUGUCCCAAAGCCCCUCAACUUUCUUCCUAGAAGUAAACACAUAAAGAGCAUCCCACGACCUCCCGCAUUUCAAGCUAGAAAAGUCAUUUAUUUUUUUUUUUAGACCAGCACUUAUUUUAUCGAGAGUUGAUAUAAAACCUGUUCUACCAAGUCCACAGCUCUGAAUGUGGAAGUUCAAAAUGUUAAUUGAUCCAUAGUUAAGAAACUCAAUCUGGGGAGGUGGCUGUCAGAAAAAAAAAAAAAAGCACUUGCCGCAUGAACUGGAGGUGGUUCUGAAUUUGAAUCUUCAUACAAAAGUCGAUCACGGUGACACAUGCCUAUAAUCUCAGUGUUCAGGAGGCAGAUAUAGAAGGAUCCCUCAGGAUUACUGGCUAAAUAGCCUAGCUGACAGCAAGCUCCAGAAUCAGUGAGAAACGCUAAAAGGUAAAGUGAGGAGAGUUGAGCAUGCUAGUCAGUUUCAUGGUAACUGGAGAAGAGGGAGCCUCAGUUGAGGAAUUUGCCUUCAUACAACCGGGCUGCAAGCAAACCUGUAGGGUAUUUUCUUAAUUAGUGAUUGAUGUGAGAGGACUUGGUCCAAUAUGUAUUGGGUACCCCCUGAGCACAUGGUCCUGGAUUCUAUGAGAAACCAGGUCGAGCAAGCCAGGGUGAGUAAGCCAGUAAGCAGCACCCCACCAUGGCCUAACUCUGUGUUAGUUCCUGCCUCUGGGUUCCUGCCCGGUCUGAGGUCCAGUCCUAACUCCCUUCCUUUAUGAACAGUAAUGUGGA